GCAGUGGUGGUUCAGUGGCAGAAUUCUCGCGUUCCACACAGGAGACCUGGGUUCGAUUCCCAGACAAUGUA
rnacentral:tRNA from 1 species